rnacentral:rRNA from 1 species
GCUACGGGAGGCAGCAGUGGGGAAUAUUGCACAAUGGGGGAAACCCUGAUGCAGCGACGCCGCGUGAGCGAAGAAGUAUUUCGGUAUGUAAAGCUCUAUCAGCAGGGAAGAAAAUGACGGUAACUGCGUAAGAAGCUCCGGCUAAAUACGUGCCAGCCGCCGCGGUAGUACGUAUGGAGCAAGCGUUAUCCGGAUUUACUGGGCGGAAAGGGAGCGUAGGCCGCCUGCCAUGUCUCAUGUGACAUACCGGGGCUCACCCCCGGGGCUGCAUUGGAAAAUGGCAGGCUGGAGUGCCGGAGAGGCAGGCGGAAUUCCUAGUUUAGCGGUGAAAUGCGGAGAUAUUAGGAGGAACACCAGUGGCGAAGGCGGCCUGCUGGACGGUGACUGACGCUGAGGCUCGAAAGCGUGGGGAGCAAACAGGAUUAGAUACCCGAGUAGUG